AAAUGAUAAUAAAGUCCUAAUAAACAUGUGAAAUCCGAGUCAAAAACAAGGUGUAAUUCAGUGUGAUCACGACGCAGGGGCGAACAAAGAAUCGUGAAGGCGAAAUUGUCCUCUCAGUAUGAAUUCAAGAACACUCUCCAAAUUUGUGCUCAUAACUCGACACCAAAUCGUAAUCAACCGAAAGUGAAAUUGUAAUCACCGAACAACUUUCUCUUGCGUGGGAAAUAGAAUCGAUUGAAGGAUGUAGGACAUACCGGAUUCGUACGCGAUAGUUGUUGAUGACGAAGGAUCACUAUUGUUGUUCGUCACGGAGUAUUGUCGACGGCGGAGAGGUGUGUCGUGGUCGAUGAAGUGGGCUACGUCUCGUUGUGGUUAAGAUGGGGAGAAAAGAGCGGCAGGUGAAAGCGAUCGAAAUGUGGACAGGUUUUUUUGUGAGUGGUUUUGGAUUGAAGGUUUUGUGUCGAUUUUUGGGUUGAAGGUCGAUUGAAGGUUAUGGAUGAAGGUUCUGUUUGGAAGAUGAAAUCGAGGGUAUCAGGGUUGAGGUUGAAGAAGAGGGUUCCUUGAAGAUGCUUGAUGAAGGGUGGUUUGAAGAUGGAGAAUCAAUUAUGAAGUUGUAGGGUUUAGGGAAAGUUCGUCCUUGAGGAGGGUGGUGAAAGGUGGUUUUUGAAGAUGGAGUUUUGAAAUGAGGUCCAGAAGAACGUGGAAAGUGAUUCGGUUCCGAAUUUAUUGGUUGAUGGAAUUCCUUGCAGUCAGUUGCGAAAUUCAAAUUCUGUUGUCGAAAUCGGUUGAAGGUUGCUAAGUUGGUUCAAAAUUGGUUAAGGAUGGUUCUGAAUUCUGUUGAGGGAUGUUGGAGUUUGGUUUCUUCAGUUGGAGGCGGUUUGUUGAGAGGUUGUUAUAUGGUUUUGGAGGCUACAAAAAUUCUGUUGUGAGGGUCGUUGGAGGUUGGUUAGAAUUGAAGAAAAUCGGUUGGAGUUUUGUUAAGGCGGUUAGAGGUUGAAGAGGUUUGUUGGAAGUUUCCAUCCAUGACAGUUGGUUGGUUCUAACUGGUCUUAGGGAGGUUCAAGUUUUGUUAUCAAAUUCGGUUAACCGUUAGUUAUUCGGUUGGAGGAAUUUGCUUUGAAGGUUUUCUUUUUGGUGAACUGAAUUGGAGGUUCAUUUAAUGGUUGGAGGAAGUUUAGAGUAUGGCGGUUAGGGGGUUGUAUCGCGUUUUGGAAUGAAGACGGAGACGUUGCAUGAUGAAGAUUCAUUAAUUGCAGAAUGGAAGAUGAUUCCUGAGUUCUUCCGAUGCGUUGUGGUUAUUAUGAACUUUGAUAAAUCCCUGAAACAGUAGCAUGAGCAGAUGCAGAUGCAGAAGCAGAAGGAGUGUCGGUUAACGAUUCUGAACCCUCUGAGAACUUCUGCUUCUUCUUCUUGAUCCUUCUCAGCUCCAUUUUGAGCUUACUCUGUGCCCUAGUUGUUUUCGUUUCCACAUUAUCAAUAUCAACAGUUUCAUCCACGUUUUUCUGCUUCCUCUGAAGCUUUAGAGACUCAGGAACUUUCUCUUUGUAUUGACGUUCUUUCCCUGGAGGUAGUGAAUCUCGCAGAGUUUCAGAUCAUCCAUCACUCUCCGCUUGCACCGCCAUUGCUUCCCGUCGUUUCAUCCGCACCGGAGAUGGUCCGGUGGAACCUCCUCGUUCGCCGAUGCUGAUCCUUUCUUCAUUAUAAUCUAGUUUUUUUGGGGAAGAAUUGGGAUUUUUUGUAGAGGGAAUUGGAUGGGGAAAGUUAAACCUAAUUUCCCAGUGACAGAAAUUAUAUUUUUCUGCAUAGAGCACAAGCUUGAGCAGUCACAAGGUCUAAAGCUUCUAGGAGACCCUAUAUGCAUUGAUAUGGCCAAGAAAAGAUGAAAGCAAGCAUGGAAAUGGUUCCCAAAGCUCUCAUCCAUCAAAUAUGCCUCCCAAGUAUCUCAAUUCAUCAUUUUGAUCAAAGUAAAUCAAAGGGUUUGAGGUUUGUUUCCCAAGGAAACCCUAAUACAUCUGCUCAUCAACUAUGCCUUGCUCAUGAAGCAACCUCAACCCAUGGUCAAAUACAAUCAAGGGAAGUUCCUUAAUUCACCAUUUCACGCAUAUUUGAACUUAUUUGAGUGUCAUCAAUCAUCAAUUCAUCAAGAUAUGAGUUUUGGACUUGAGAAGUUGAUCAGUCAAUUCAUCUAACUAUUUCGAAAUACACUGAGACCUAACUUUUUAUGUGUUGGUCAAGUGGAGAUGAUCCCAAGAGAAAAAAUGUUCUUAAUAACCAUAUGAACAACUUUCAUGUUCAUCAAAAAUUUAUUUGAAACUUGGAAGGUCAUCAUCCAUUCCAAGACAUUAUAGGUCAUUUUGACUGAAACCCUAAUUUUGGGUCAACUUACCAAGGACAUAACUCCUUCAUUUUUUAUGAUUUAUAGGUUAUAUAAAAUGAAUUGGAAAUAUUAAGAUGUCUACUUCAAAUGUUAUGUUUAGAAAAAUUCCAAAAUCUCAAAAGAAA